rnacentral:rRNA from 1 species
CAGUAGAACCCGCUGAACUUAAGCAUAUCA